rnacentral:rRNA from 1 species
AUUGAACGCUGGCGGCAUGCCUUACACAUGCAAGUCGAACGGCAGCGCGGGAGCAAUCCUGGCGGCGAGUGGCGAACGGGUGAGUAAUAUAUCGGAACGUGCCCAGUAGUGGGGGAUAGCCCGGCGAAAGCCGGAUUAAUACCGCAUGAGACCUGAGGGUGAAAGCGGGGGAUCGCAAGACCUCGCGCUACUGGAGCGGCCGAUAUCAGAUUAGCUAGUUGGUGGGGUAAAGGCCUACCAAGGCAACGAUCUGUAGUUGGUCUGAGAGGACGACCAGCCACACUGGGACUGAGACACGGCCCAGACUCCUACGGGAGGCAGCAGUGGGGAAUUUUGGACAAUGGGCGCAAGCCUGAUCCAGCAAUGCCGCGUGCAGGAAGAAGGCCUUCGGGUUGUAACUAGCUUUGUUCUAGGGAAGG